CGCUGCAUGGGCAGGAGCUUGGCCAGGGCCUUCUUGCGGCCCUCGACAUCCUUGCUGAGGAUCAUUUCGCGCACGGCGA
rnacentral:tRNA from 1 species